CAUGUCCUUUUGAUAGUUGAUUUAAGGUCUAGUCUGCCCACUGAAUUUUUGAAGGGCCGCAGUAUUUUGACUGUGCAAAGGUAGCAUAAUCAUUAGUUUUUUAAUUUGGAACUGGAAUGAAUGGCUGGACGAGGGAAUAGCUGUCUUUAUUUUAUUUUAUUAGAAUUUUAUUUUUAAGUUAAAAAGCUUAGAUUUUUAUAAAAGACGAGAAGACCCUAUAGAGUUUUAUUUUAUCAUUUUAGACUAAUUAUUAAGAAUUUAAUUUUGUUUUAUUUUAUUUAAUUUUAUUGGGGUGAUGGAGAGAUUUAAUUAACUCUUUUUUUAUUUUUACAUUAAUAUAUGAUUUUUUGAUCCAUUUUUGAUUAGAAGAAUAAAUUACCUUAGGGAUAACAGCGUAAUCUUUCUAUAGAGUUCUUAUCGACAGAAGGGGUUGCGACCUCGAUGUUGGAUUAAAGUUAAAUUCUGGUGUAGAAGCUUGAUAUUUUAAGUCUGUUCGACUUUUAAAACUUUACAUGAUCUGAGU
rnacentral:rRNA from 1 species